AGAAUCAACGCUGGCGGCGUGCCUAACACAUGCAAGUCGCACGAGAAAGGGGAAGGCAAUCCCUGAGUAAAGUGGCGCACGGGUGAGUAACACGUGAAUGAUCUACCUCCGAGUGGGGAAGUAAACUGAGAGAAAUCUUAGCUAAUACCGCAUAACACUUACGAGUCAAAGCAGCAAUGCGCUUGGAGAGGAGUUCGCGGCCGAUUAGCUAGUUGGCGGGGGUAAUGGCCCACCAAGGCGAUGAUCGGUA
rnacentral:rRNA from 1 species